CCAUGCUCAUGUUCUUUCUCUCAAUAAUAAACGUUAAUUUUUUUUUUUAAAUAAUAAAAAAAAACUAUAAAACCAAUGACAUUUGAAUAAGGCCUGUGAAUUGUGCCACGGUCAAUUUCCUAGUUUUGCUAUUGUACCAUAGUUAUAUGAAGUAUGACAAUUAGGGACAACUGGGUAAAGGGUAUAUGGGACCUCUCUGUAGUACUUUUUUGCAACUUCCCAUGAUAAGGUGGUGUUGAAGACCACUGUGAAAUAGAGAGGUGAAAAUCCAGACAGAGAGCCUGUCUGUAAAGGCAAACAGAUACAAAAAUCUGGAUAACAAAAAGGAGACAAUGGAAUAGUUUUUAUUUUUCCAGAAAAACCACGCAAAAUCUUUUUUGUUUUGCUCUCUAAAAAUUUAAGAAAAUGAGUAACAACUCAUUACUAGUAGACAUAAAAGGUAAGUGUUAUAUAAUGCCACAAUUUUCUGGGUAAUUUGCCAUACAAGUAUUUUUAACAUAUUAACACACAAAAAUUCAGCUACUUAGAAUAUAGCCAUCUAAUACUUCAUUUUCAAGAGAACGGAGGAACCAGAAGGGGGAACUAGCCCUAACAUUCUUUUAACUAUUCCAUCACAAUCACAACCACCAACUUCUUUAAUGUUGGAACAGCAACUCCAAAGGCCAAAGUAACAAAUGAAUACAACCAGAAGAGCCUAUGCAUUUAUACACAUUUAUUUACUCAGUAUGAAUGGCUUUCAAGUUUGGAGACUAAAACCUUCUGACAGACUUGUAAUGUCUAAAGCAGACUUGUAUAUUUCACAAUACAAAGGAAAACAGGAUAAGGACAAGAAUGAAAAAAUAAAAGGGAGCAAUGGUGAUCAACAGCAAUCCAAACUGACAAAGGAAACAGGAAUCUGAAGCUGUCUGAAGAGUCCAGAGAACGUCAAUAAAAAUGAAACUUUAGAAAGGAAAACAACCCUGAAACUGAGUAGAGGUGGAGAAAAAGCAAGUCAUGUGAGCAGUCCUCACCUUUAAAGCCAGUGAGAAGGUGCUCAAAGAGACACAAGCAGCCAUCUGAGCAGUUCCCUUAGAGAAUCCACAGUAUCAACCCUCAGCUCUGUAAAGUCACAUUCUAGGACUUCAACCUAUGAAUUUGAGUGAGGAGAGACACAAUUCAACACAUAACAACCAGUAAUCUCAAUUCUUUCUGACAAACCUACUCUUCAACCCAUUCUCUACAGCAACUAUUUUGGGAACAAAUGUGAACUUUAGUCAAUCCAAUCAGACAAAAUCUCAGUUCUUUCAUGGGAACUAUCAUAGAAGAGAUUCUCUCUUCCACUGCACUAGGAGUUACAAAGACCACAUGCCUGCAGCUUUACAAACAUCUUAGUGCUACCAUGGGAAAACCUGUCUGAGACUGGAGCCAAGAUAUGAAGGAAAAACUGAAAAGUGACAUCACUGAGACCCUAACACAUCUGAAGACAGCUUUACUCCCAGGCCUAUCAACUACAUAAACUAACAUAUUCCCUUUCCAUUUAAGAACUGGCGUUUCCUAUCACUUGCGUAAAAGGGUUCUGAUGUAAGAACAGAUAAAACUGGCUAAUAAAGUAAACUUUAUAUA